UACGUAGGGUGCAAGCGUUGUCCGGAAUUAUUGGGCGUAAAGAGCUCGUAGGCGGCCUGUUGCGUCCGCUGUGAAAGCCCGGGGCUUAACCCCGGGUCUGCAGUGGAUACUGGCAGGCUAGAGGUAGGUAGGGGAGAAUGGAAUUCCCGGUGUAGCGGUGAAAUGCGCAGAUAUCGGGAGGAACACCGGUGGCGAAGGCGGUUCUCUGGGCCUUACCUGACGCUGAGGAGCGAAAGCGUGGGGAGCGAACAGG
rnacentral:rRNA from 1 species